rnacentral:rRNA from 1 species
AGAGUUUGAUCCUGGCUCAGGAUGAACGCUAGCUACAGGCUUAACACAUGCAAGUCGAGGGGCAGCAUGGUCUUAGCUUGCUAAGGCCGAUGGCGACCGGCGCACGGGUGAGUAACACGUAUCCAACCUGCCGUCUACUCUUGGACAGCCUUCUGAAAGGAAGAUUAAUACAAGAUGGCAUCAUGAGUCCGCAUGUUCACAUGAUUAAAGGUAUUCCGGUAGACGAUGGGGAUGCGUUCCAUUAGAUAGUAGGCGGGGUAACGGCCCACCUAGUCUUCGAUGGAUAGGGGUUCUGAGAGGAAGGUCCCCCACAUUGGAACUGAGACACGGUCCAAACUCCUACGGGAGGCAGCAGUGAGGAAUAUUGGUCAAUGGACGAGAGUCUGAACCAGCCAAGUAGCGUGAAGGAUGACUGCCCUAUGGGUUGUAAACUUCUUUUAUAAAGGAAUAAAGUCGGGUAUGCAUACCCGUUUGCAUGUACUUUAUGAAUAAGGAUCGGCUAACUCCGUGCCAGCAGCCGCGGUAAUACGGAGGAUCCGAGCGUUAUCCGGAUUUAUUGGGUUUAAAGGGAGCGUAGAUGGAUGUUUAAGUCAGUUGUGAAAGUUUGCGGCUCAACCGUAAAAUUGCAGUUGAUACUGGAUAUCUUGAGUGCAGUUGAGGCAGGCGGAAUUCGUGGUGUAGCGGUGAAAUGCUUAGAUAUCACGAAGAACUCCGAUUGCGAAGGCAGCCUGCUAAGCUGCAACUGACAUUGAGGCUCGAAAGUGUGGGUAUCAAACAGGAUUAGAUACCCUGGUAGUCCACACGGUAAACGAUGAAUACUCGCUGUUUGCGAUAUACAGCAAGCGGCCAAGCGAAAGCGUUAAGUAUUCCACCUGGGGAGUACGCCGGCAACGGUGAAACUCAAAGGAAUUGACGGGGGCCCGCACAAGCGGAGGAACAUGUGGUUUAAUUCGAUGAUACGCGAGGAACCUUACCCGGGCUUAAAUUGCAGAUGAAUUACGGUGAAAGCCGUAAGCCGCAAGGCAUCUGUGAAGGUGCUGCAUGGUUGUCGUCAGCUCGUGCCGUGAGGUGUCGGCUUAAGUGCCAUAACGAGCGCAACCCUUGUUGUCAGUUACUAACAGGUCAUGCUGAGGACUCUGACAAGACUGCCAUCGUAAGAUGUGAGGAAGGUGGGGAUGACGUCAAAUCAGCACGGCCCUUACGUCCGGGGCUACACACGUGUUACAAUGGGGGGUACAGAGGGCCGCUACCACGCGAGUGGAUGCCAAUCCCCAAAACCUCUCUCAGUUCGGACUGGAGUCUGCAACCCGACUCCACGAAGCUGGAUUCGCUAGUAAUCGCGCAUCAGCCACGGCGCGGUGAAUACGUUCCCGGGCCUUGUACACACCGCCCGUCAAGCCAUGGGAGCCGGGGGUACCUGAAGUGCGUAACCGCGAGGAGCGCCCUAGGGUAAAACUGGUGACUGGGGCUAAGUCGUAACAAGGUAGCCGUACCGGAAGGUGCGGCUG